rnacentral:rRNA from 1 species
UACAGAGGGUGCAAGCGUUAAUCGGAAUUACUGGGCGUAAAGCGUGCGCAGUCGGUUAUUUAAGUCGGAUGUGAGAUCCCCGGGCUCAACCUGGGAAUUGCAUUCGAUACUGGAUGGCUAGAGUUCGGCAGAGGGAAGUGGAAUUUCAGGUGUAGCGGUGAAAUGCGUAGAUAUCUGAAGGAACAUCAGUGGCGAAAGCGACUUCCUGGACCAGAACUGACGAUCAGGCACGAAAGCGUGGGGAGCAAACAGG